AUUGAACGCUGGCGGCAGGCCUAACACAUGCAAGUCGAACGAGUGGCGGACGGGUGAGUAAUGCUUGGCAAACUGCCUGAUGGAGGGGGAUAACUACUGGAAACGGUAGCUAAUACCGCAUACCAUCGGAUGUGCCCAGAUGGGAUUAGCUAGUUGGUGGGGUAAAGGCUCACCAAGGCGACGAUCCCUAGCUGGUCUGAGAGGAUGACCAGCCACACUGGAACGGAGACACGGGCCAGACUCCUACGGGAGGCAGCAGUGGGGAAUAUUGCGCAAUGGGGGAAAUCCUGAUGCAGCCAUGCCGCGUGUAUGAAGAAGGCCUUCGGGUUGUAAAGUGCUUUCAGUGGGGAGGCGUUACCCGCAGAAGAAGCACCGGCUAACUCCGUGCCAGCAGCCGCGGUAAUUC
rnacentral:rRNA from 1 species